rnacentral:lncRNA from 1 species
AGGGGCGAAAAAUACCACAGGGACAAUCAAACUCAUAUAUCAAAGAUAAACUGACAAAACUAUGGAUAGAAAAGAUAACGACAAACAGACAAACAAUAGUACACAGGAAACAACAUAUAAAACUAAAGACUAAGCAACCCCACUACAAAAUGAGGGUGAUAUCAGGUGCUCCAGAAGGGUAAGCAGAUCCUGCAUAACAGGUGGCACCUGAUUAAUAG